UUGAGGAAGGGAAAAGACGCUAUGUUGUGCUGCCGCAGUACGUUUUGGCGGGUUUGUAUGGUUGGUCAAGGUGGGUUAGUUGUGAAUGCUUCUCUCGUCAUUUCUCAACAGCUUUUGGUAGGUUGCCACAUGAAGUUUAAAGAUGCGUUUCUCGGGGUCGUAUGAAGUUGUCGUAUAAGUUACCUUCUUUGAUCGAGGAGGGUUCUGAGAAGAAUCGUC
rnacentral:lncRNA from 1 species